UUCUUAUUCAGGGAUGGGAGUGGGUUGCCUCUCAAAAAUACUAGGAAUAAUAUGUUUAUCAUUGGUUAGAACAGUGUUGUUAUGUGACCGGCCACGACGAAUGCACCUUGUACGUUUGGAUAAGCCCAGGUAUCGGGACCGGCAUCGCAUCUUCUCAUUAUAUAUCGUUACCGAUACAUCCCGUGGGGGCCCGGGGGGGGAUGAUGCUGGUCGUGCGUGGUGCCAUUGCUGCUGCCGUUACCCGGCCGCCUCUGCCUCUGGUGAGAUGCAGGACGGAGGUUGAGGGGAACAAGCGCCGAGGGAUGCCUGGGUUCGGGCUCGGGGGAGAGGCGGGAAAGGAGGAGAAGAAGAAGAAGAAGAGGAAGAAGGAGAAGGUGGAGGUGGUGUGGCAGUGCGCCCGGGGCUGCGGCGCCUGCUGCAAGCUGGACAAGGGCCCCGCCUUCCCCGCCCCGGAGGACAUCUUCGCCGACGACCCAUCCCACCUCCAGCUUUACAAAAGCCUGAUAGGCCCUGACGGCUGGUGCGUCCACUACCAUCAUCCAACCCGGACCUGUUCCAUCUACCCAGACCGGCCCUUCUUCUGCCGGGUUGAGCCUGCUGUCUUUGAGAAGCUGUACGGCAUCGACGAGAGGAGAUUCAAUCGAGAGGCUUGCAGGGAUACCAUCAAAGCAGUUUAUGGCUCCGGUUCGGACGAACUCAAGAAUUUUGACCGUCUCACUAGAAAUCCCAAAUAAAUGGACUCAAUGGUGUGACAUAAUUGGCAUCAUGACGUGGGCACUCUUGUUCUGUAAACUAUGAUAACUUGGUUCCUCUCACAAGCAUAAUGUAGCAGUAAGGGACGAGAUAUCUUGCUGUGAACACUUCAUGUAUUAAUACUAUGUUGGUCCAUAGUUAACAGAUUAUCUACUUCAUCUAUUUGCCAAUGUGAAUGCUGACAUAUGUAAAGGUAUUCCAGUUCUUAUUUUGAUGCAAUGGUUUUACAUAAUUUCUAAAAUGUUCGUUUGCUUUGUGUGCUAGAACUUGGAGAACAUUAAAUUAUAUUCUUGAAUUUUCGUCAGUAUUUUUCACUGAUAUGUGUUGUAUCUCACAGUGCUUCUGAAGCUGGCAUAUAAUUUAAGUGAACAUUGUCAUGGGCAUCUUCUUAGUUUCUUGCAUGCCUCUUUUAUUAUGGCUUAGGAUGAUUAUCUUUUUACAAGGUCGAUUUUCUGUUCUGGAGUAUUCCUUGAAUCUACUACUGGGACGGCUCAUACUUAAAGAUUUGUUUGUGAAAUAGAUAAGUGAUUGCUCGUUCUUGCAAACGCGAUGUGUUAUAUGUUCCAUUGCACUAUACAGAUAAUGCAACUUUUUCGGAAGACAAAUACUUGCACAGAUCAAAAUAUGGACUUGAUUCUGUCAGCAAAGUUUCUGCAAAUUCACAGUAACCUUUCGUUACCAGAUGGAACUUAAUCUGCUUGGCUGCCAAGCAUGUUGCUUUCAUUAUUAUUGUCAGAUCAUUGCUUUUAAAUCACAAAUAUAGUGCUUCCAUCUAUUACUCUGCA